AAUCUUGUAGUAUAAUAAGUAUGCUUAAUUUCCAAUUAAGAGGUUUUCAUGGUUA
rnacentral:tRNA from 1 species